GGGGCCGUGGCGCAGCUGGUAGCGCUUCUGACUGGCAGUCAGGAGGUCACGGGUUCAAGUCCCGUCGGCUCCA
rnacentral:tRNA from 1 species